rnacentral:lncRNA from 1 species
UAGAGUGUUGUCUGUCGUGUUUAAAAGAGUAGGAGGGGAGUAGAGUGUUGUCUGUAGUGUUUAAUAGAGUAGGAGGGGAGUAGAGUAGAGUGUUGUCUCUAGUGUUUAACAGAGUAGAAGGGGAGUAGAUUGUUCUCUGUAGUGUUUAACAGAGUAGAAGGGGAGUAGAGUGUUCUCUGCAGUGUUUAACAGAGAAGGAGAGGAAUAGAGUAUAGUGAUGUCUGUCGUGUUUAACAGAGUAGGAGGGGAGUAGAGUAGAGUGGUGACUGUAGUUUUUAACAGAGUAGGAGUGGAGUAGAGUGUUGUCUGUAGUGUUUAACAGAGUAGGAGUGGAUUCGAGUAUUGUCUGUAUUGUUUAACAGAGUAGGAGGGGAGUAGAGUAGCGUGUUGUCUGUAGUGUUUAACAGAGUAGAAAGGGAGUAGAGUAGAGUGUUGUUUGUAGUGUUUAACAGAGUAGGAGAGGAGUAGAGUAGUGUGUUGUCUGUCAUGUUUAAAAGAGUAGGAGGGGGUAGAGCGUUGUCUGUAGUGUUUAACAGAGUAGGAGGGGAGGGGAAUAGAGUGUUCUCUGCAGUGUUUAACAGAGUGGAGAGGAAUAGAGUAUAGAGUUGUCUGUAGUGUUUAACAGAGUAGGAGGGGAGUAGAGUAGAGUGGUGACUGUAGUUUUUGACAGAGUAGGAGUGGAGUAGAGUUUUGUCUGUAGUGUUUAACAGAGUAGGAGGGGAAUAGAGUGUUGUCUGUAGUGUUUAACAGAGUAGGAGGGGAGAAGAGUGUUGUCUGUAGUUUUUAACAGAGUAGGAGGGGAGUAGAGUGUUGUCUGUAGUGUUUAACAGAGUAGGAGUGGAGUAGAGUAUUGUCUGUAGUGUUUAACAGAGUAGGAGGGGAGUAGAGUAGAGUGUUGUCUGUCGUGUUUAACAGAGUAGGAGUGGAGUAGAGUAUUGUCUGUAGUGUUUAAUAGAGUAGAAGGGGAGUAGAGUAAAGUGUUGUCUCUAGUGUUUAACAGAGUAGCAGGAGGUAGAGUGUUGUCUGUAGUGUAUAACAGAGUAGGAGGGGAGUAUAGUGUUCUCUCUAGUGUUUAACAGAGUAGGAGGGGAGUAGAGUGUUGUCUGUAGUGUUUAACAGAGUAAGAGGGGAGUAGAGUGUUGUCUGUAGUGUUUAACAAAGUAGGAGGAGAGUAGAGUAGAGUGUUUUCUGUAGUGUUUAAUCGAGUAGGAGGGGAUUAGAGUAGUGCUGUCCAUAGUGUUUUAUAAAGGUGUAGGGGUGUAGAGUGUUGUCUUUAGUGUUUAACAGAGUGGAAGGGAAGUAGAGUGGAGAAUUGUCUGUAGUGUUUAACAAAGUAUAAUGUGAGUAGAGUAGAGAAUUGUCUGUAGUUUUUAACUGAGUAGGAGGUCAGGACAGUUCUGUGUGUUGUGUUUAACAGAGUGGGAGGGUGUAGAGUGUUGUCUGUAGUGUUUAACAGAGUAGAAGGGGAGUAAAGUAUAGUGUUGUCUGUAGUGUUUAACAGAGUAGGAAGGGAGUAGAGUGUUCUCUGGUGUGUUUAACAGAGUGGGAGGGUGUAGAGUGUUGUCUGUAGUGUUUAACAAAGUUGAAUGUGAGUAGAGUAGAGAAUUGUCUGUAGUUUUUAACAGAGUAGGAGGGGAGUAGAGUAGCGUGUUGUCUGUUGUGUUUAACAGAGUAGGAGGGGAGGGGAGUAGAGUGUUGUCUGUAGUGUUUUAAAGAGUAUAAAGGGAGUAGAGUAGAGUGUUGUCUGCAGUGUUUAACAGAGUAGGAGGGGAGUAGAGUAUAGUGUUGUCUGUAGUGUUUAACAGAGUAGGAGAAGGUAGAGUGUUGUCUGUAGUGUUUAACAGAGUAGGAGGGGAGUAGAGUGUUGUCUGUAGUGUUUAAAAUAGUAUAAAGGGAGUAGAGUAGAGUGUUGUCUGUAGUGUUUACCAGAGUAGGAGGGGAGUAGAGUGUCGUCUGUAGUGUUUAACAGAGUAGAAGGGGAGUAGAGUGUUGUCUGUAGUGUUUAACAAAGUAGGAGGGGAGUAGAGUAGAGUGUUGUCUGUAGUGUUUAAAAAAGUAGGAAAAGAGUAGAGUGUUGUCUGUAGUGUUUAACAGAGUAGGAGGGGAGUAGAGUAGAGUGUUGUCUGUAGUGUUUAACAGAGUAGGAAGGGAGUAGAGCAGAGUGUUGUCUGUCGUGUUUAACAGAGUAUGAGGGGAGUAGAGUGUUUUCUGUAGUGUUUAAUAGAGUAGGAGAGUAGUAGGGUAGAGUGUUGUCUCUAGUGUUUAACAGAGUAGCAGGAGAGUAGAGUGUUGUCUAUAGUGUUUAACAGAGUAGGAGGGGAGUAGAGUAGAGUGUUGUCUGUAGUGUUUAACAGAGGAGGAGAGGAGUAGAGUGUUGUCUGUAGUGUUUAACAGAGUAGAUGGGGAGUAAAUUAUAGUGUUGUCUGUCGUGUUUAACAGAGUAGGAAGGGAGUAGAGUGUUGUCUGUAGUGUUUAACAAAGUAGGAAAAGAGUAGAGUGUUGUCUGUAGUGUUUAACAGAGUAGGAGGGGAGUAGAGUAGAGUGUUGUCUGUAGUGUUUAACAGAGUAGGAGGGGAGUGGAAUGUUGUCUGUAUUGGUAAACAGAGUAGGAGGAGAGUAGAGUAGAGUGUUUUCUGCAGUGUUUAACUGAGUAGGAGGGGAUUAGAGUAGUGUUGUCCUUAGUGUUUCCUAUAGUUGUAGGGGUGUAGAGUGUUGUCUGUAGUGUUUAACAGAGUGGAAGUGGAGUAGAGUGGAAAAUUGUCUGUAGUGUUUAACAGAGUAGAAUGUGAGUAGAGUGUUCUCUGGUGUGUUUAACAGAGUGGGAGGGGAGUAGAGUGUUGUCUGUAGUGUUUAACAAAGUAGAAUGUGAGUAGAGUGGAGAAUUGUCUGUAGUGUUUAACAACGUAGGAGGGGAGUAGAGUGCUGUCUGUAGUGUUUAACAGAGUAGUAGGGGUGUAGACUGUUGUCUUUAGUGUUUUACAGAGUAGGAGGGGAAUAGAGUAGGGUGUUGUCUGCUGUGUUUAACAGAGUAGGAGGGGAGUAGAGUAGUGUUGUCUUUAGUUUUUAACAGAGUAGCAUUUGUGUUGAUUAGAGUGUUGUCUGUAGUGUUUAACAGAGUAGGACGAGAGUGGAGUAGAGUGUUGUCUGUAGUUUUUAACAGAGUAGAAGGGGAGUAGAGUGUUGUCUUUAGUGUUAAACAGAGUCGCAGGGGAGUUGAGUGUUGUCUGUAGUGUUUAACAGAGUAGGAGGGGAGUAGAGUGCUGUCUGUAGUGUUUAACAGAGUUGCAGGGGAGUAGAGUUUUGUCUGUAGUUUUUAACAGGGUAGAAGGGGAGUUGAGUAGAGUGUUGUCUGUAGUGUUUAGCAGAGUUGGAGGUUAGUAGAGUAGAGUGUUGUCUGUAGUUUUUAACAGAGUAGCAUUUGAGUAGAUUACAGUGGUGUCUGUAGUGUUUAACAGAGUAGGAGGGGAGUAGAGUCGAGUGUUGUCUGUUGUUUUUAACAGAGUUGAAGGGGUGUAGAGUAAAGUGUUGUCUGUAGUGUUUAACAGAGUAGUAGGAGGUAGAGUGUUGUCUGUAGUGUUUAACAUAGUAGGAAAAGGAGAAAAGUGUGGUCUGUAGUGUUUAACAGAGUAGGAGGGGAGUGGAAUGUUGUCUGUAGUGGUUAACAGAGUAGGAGGAGAGUAGAGUAGAGUGUUUUCUGCAGUGUUUAACCGAAUAGGAGGGGAUUAGAGUACUGUUGUCCUUAGUGUUUUCUAUAGUUGUAGGGGUGUAGAGUGUUGUCUGUAGUGUUUAACAGAGUGGAAGUGGAGUAGAGUGGAGAAUUGUCUGUAGUGUUUAACAGAGUUGGAGGUGAGUAGAGUGUUCUCUGGUGUGUUUAACAGAGUGUUAGGGGAGUAGAGUGUUGUCUGUAGUGUUUAACAAAGUAGAAUGUGAGAAGAGUAGAGAAUUGUCUGUAGUGUUUAACAGAGUAGGAGGGGAGUAGAGUUUUGUGUGUAGUGUUUAACAGAGUAUGAGGGGAGUAGAGUAGAGAAUUGUCUGUAGUGUUUAACAGAGUAGUAGGGGUGUAGACUGUUGUCUGUAGUGUUUAACAGAGUAGUAGGGGUGUAGACUGUUGUCUGUAGUGUUUAACAGAGUAGGAGGGGAGUAGAGUUUUGUCUGUAGUGUUUAACAGAGUAGGAGGGUGUAGAGUGUUGUCUGUUGUAACGGUUGUCGUAUAGAG